GCCUUCGUGGUGUAAUGGUUAGCACACUCGACGUAAAAUCCGGAGGUCCGGGGUUCGAUUCCCGGCGAAGGCG
rnacentral:tRNA from 1 species